rnacentral:rRNA from 1 species
CCUACGGGUGGCUGCAGUGGGGAAUAUUGGACAAUGGGCGAAAGCCUGAUCCAGCCAUGCCGCGUGUGUGAAGAAGGCCUUCGGGUUGUAAAGCACUUUCAGUGGGGAAGAAAGCCUUGGGGCUAAUACCCUCGGGGAAGGACAUCACCCACAGAAGAAGCACCGGCUAACUCCGUGCCAGCAGCCGCGGUAAUACGGAGGGUGCGAGCGUUAAUCGGAAUUACUGGGCGUAAAGCGCGCGUAGGCGGUCUGAUAAGCCGGUUGUGAAAGCCCCGGGCUCAACCUGGGAACGGCAUCCGGAACUGUCAGGCUAGAGUGCAGGAGAGGAAGGUAGAAUUCCCGGUGUAGCGGUGAAAUGCGUAGAGAUCGGGAGGAAUACCAGUGGCGAAGGCGGCCUUCUGGACUGACACUGACGCUGAGGUGCGAAAGCGUGGGUAGCAAACAGGAUUAGAUACCCUAGUAGUC